CUUAACCCACUGAGCAGCAAGUCUUGCUGCAGUAUACACCAACUGUUCCAGUAUGUUCUUUUUCUUUAAGCCGCUGUUUCUGGAAAGUCUGCUCGGGUCCUGCUAGCUCCACCUCGAGAACACUGGGAGUAUGGGCUUACAGGAGAAGAGGAAAGUGGUGAGGUCACCAGCUGAAGAGUGGAUGGGGAGAAGAGAGAAGUGAAACUCAUUGAGAAAUACAGUGCGUCAGCUGGGAAAUCAUACAGGGUCAUUGGCCACCAGGCCAUGAGGACAAAGGGAGCAGAAUCGAUGAACAGGAUUUCAGAUGGCUGGAAAGGAAAAAGCAGGAAGUAAAACAAGCCCAGAAGAAAGCCUCGCCAACAGACGGAAUAAAAUGGAAGACAAAGUAUCAGGUCUUGAAGACAAAGUAGAAGAAAUAGAUCAAUCAUCCAAAGAAUAUGUUACAUAUAAAUUAAAAAUCUAGGCAUUCAGGGAAUCUGGGACAAUAUGAAGAGACCAAAUGUAUGAAUAAUUGAUAUAGAUGAAGGAGAAGAAACUCAAGUGAAAGCCAUAGAAAAUAUCUUUAACAAAAAUCAUAGAAUAAAAAAUUUCAAAUCUA
rnacentral:lncRNA from 1 species